rnacentral:tRNA from 1 species
UAUAUUUUGGUGUAAGGUGCACAGAAAUUUUUGAUAUUUUAGGAAACAGUUUAAUUCUGUUGAAUAUAA